rnacentral:lncRNA from 1 species
GCCAGCCGCCCCGUCCGGGAGGGAGGUGGGGGGGGUCGGCCCCCCCGCCCGGCCAGCCGCCCCGUCCAGGAGGGAGGUGGGGGGGUCAGCCCCCCGCCCGGCCAGCCGCCCCGUCCGGGAGGGAGGUGGGGGGGUCGGCCCCCCUGCCCGGCCAGCCGCCCCGUCCGGGAGGGAGGUGGGGGGGUCAGCCCCCCGCCCGGCCAGCCGCCCCGUCCGGGAGGGAGGUUGGGGG